rnacentral:rRNA from 1 species
UACGUAGGGUGCGAGCGUUAAUCGGAAUUACUGGGCGUAAAGUGUGCGCAGGCGGCCGCGCAAGUCGAGUGUGAAAGCCCCGGGCUCAACCCAGGAAGUGCAUUCGAAACUGCAAAGCUGGAGUCCUGGAGAGGAAGGCGGAAUUCUCGGUGUAGAGGUGAAAUUCGUAGAUAUCGAGAGGAACACCGGUGGCGAAGGCGGCCUUCUGGACAGUGACUGACGCUGAGACGCGAAAGCGUGGGGAGCAAACAGG